AUUGAACGCUGGCGGCAUGCCUUANACAUGCAAGUCGAACGGCAGCACGGGAGCAAUCCUGGUGGCGAGUGGCGAACGGGUGAGUAAUAUAUCGGAACGUGCCCAGUCGUGGGGGAUAACGUAGCGAAAGCUACGCUAAUACCGCAUACGAUCUAUGGAUGAAAGCGGGGGAUCGCAAGACCUCGCGCGAUUGGAGCGGCCGAUAUCAGAUUAGGGUAGUUGGUGAGGUAAAGGCUCACCAAGCCGACGAUCUGUAGCUGGUCUGAGAGGACGACCAGCCACACUGGGACUGAGACACGGCCCAGACUCCUACGGGAGGCAGCAGUGGGGAAUUUUGGACAAUGGGCGCAAGCCUGAUCCAGCAAUGCCGCGUGCAGGAUGAAGGCCUUCGGGUUGUAAACUGCUUUUGUACGGAACGAAACGGUGAGCUCUAAUACAGUUUGCUAAUGACGGUACCGUAAGAAUAAGCACCGGCUAACUACGUG
rnacentral:rRNA from 1 species